AGCCGCUUUACCUGGCUUUAUCUUAUCAAACGUAAAUCUGAUGUGUUUGACAUUUUUGUUCAGUUCCAAAAACAUGUUGAACGCCUUCUCAAGCACAAAAUUGUUCAUGUUCAGUCGGACUGGGGUGGCGAGUAUCGCAACCUCAACUCCUUCUUUCAGUCACUUGGGAUCACUCACCGUUUAGCAUGUCCACAUACACAUCAGCAGAAUGGUUCAGUAGAACGUAAGCAUCGUCACAUUGUUGAAGCUGGUCUGACUCUUUUGGCCCAUGCAUCUGUUCCGUUUCGUUUUUGGAGUGAUGCUUUCACCACUGCAUGUUUUCUCAUCAAUCGUACUCCCACUCGUGUUUUGAAUAUGAAGACUCCCAUUGAAGUUCUCCUUAAUGAACAACCGGACUACACCUUUCUCAAGGUGUUUGGGUGUGCUUGCUGGCCCCAUCUCCGUCCAUAUAACAAGCGUAAGCUCGAGUUU
rnacentral:rRNA from 1 species